GGCAGGAUUUGGGCUGGCAGGAUUUGGGCUGGCAGGAUUUGGGCUGGCACGAGGCUGGUGCUGCUGGAUUUUUCCCUUCGACAUCGAUUGGAGCCGUUCCCUUCCCGCAGUUUUUGGGGUUUUUCCCGGCAUUUUUGGGUUUUUCCCCCAUAUUUUUGGUUUUUUCCUGGUUUUUUGUUUCCUUCCUGGUUUUUUGUUUCCUUCCUGGCAUCUUUGGUUCAUUCCUCGUGUUUCAUUCCUGGUGUUUCCUCCCCAACAUUUUUAUUUCUUUCCCAACAUUUUUUGUUUCCUUCCCAACAUUUUUGUUUCCUUCCCAACAUUUUUUGUUUCCUUCCCAGGAUUUUUGUCUCACUCCCGUUUUUUUUUUUUAUUCCCUUCCCAGAUUUUUUAUUUUUUCCCCUCCCGUUUUCAUUUCAUUCCCAACAUUUCCCCCCCCUGCAAAUCCCAAAAAUUCCCGUCCCGUUUCCCAAACUCUUGGCCAGGCUGGGAAUUCCUUGGGGAAUUUUUAGGGAAUUUCGGGAAUCCUCUCCUGGUGCUCACCCCCAAAAAAAAAACACUUAAAAACCCCAAAUCUGCUGUGCCCGCCCCACUAAAAUCUCAUUUUUGGGCAAAUAAAUCCGGGUGCCUCUGGAGCCUCCUCCCACCAGGCACUUUAGGGACUCAUUUUUCAUUUUUUAGGGAUUUCUUUUCGAUUUUCCCCCCAAAUUUUGGCAAUUUGUCAGCUCCUAAAAAUCCCUUUUUUUCGUUUUUUUGCCUUUUUUUCCCCCCUCCUGGUUUGCGUGGCCGUUGGUCGAUAGUUUUUAUUUUUUAACCAAAAAAAAAGAGAAUUAUUUAUACAGAAACGAGCAUUUCCCUGUAAAAAACCCAUCAAAAACCAUUAAAAAAAUAUAUAAAUUCAACAUUUUACCCUUUCCUAAGGAAACAAAUGCACUUGCAAGUCUUUAUUCCCAAAAACUCCGUGGAUUUUUUUGGGAUGGAGCAUCCCGGAAGAUUUUGUGGAUUUUGGUUUUUUUUGGAUUUGGAGUUCUCAUUUUUUUUUUAUUUUCCAUUUUUGUUUUAAAUCCUGUUUCUGCUGCAGGUUCGAAGCAUUGGAGAAUAAUAUUGCACUGCUGUUUUUGGGGGUUUUUUUCCAUUUUUUGGGGCUUUUUUUCCGUUUUUUGGGGGUUUUUCCCCUUCUGAAUUACUGUAACAACAUCCAAAAAAAAUCAAAUUUUCCCCUCCUUGCCACAAAGCCAAAGGCGAGGCAGCGGAAUUCCAGGAAUUUGGAGAAUUUGGGGAAUUUUGGGGAAUUUCGGGACGCUCCCAGCUCCUCACCCUUGGAGAAAAGGGCAUUUCUGUAACCAAAAUUCGAUUUUUUUUGGGGUUGGUUUUUAUUCUUUUUUUUCUUUUUUUCCCGCUGGUUUAUUCCUGGGGGAUCCCCUGGCACUGAUUUUUCUUUUUUUAAUUUAAUUUAAUUUUUUUUUUUUGAACCAAAGCCAAACUUUUUCCAACCAAAUCCUGAAGCUGCAGGUUUGGCCUUUGGGUGAAAAGCACAUUUUGGACAUUUUUGACUUUUUUUUUUGGACAUUUUUGCCAUUUUUUGGACAUUUUUGACUUUUUUUUCCUUCGGGUUUCCCCGCCCCAAGCACUGAACAAAAACCCAACCCGGGCACUUGAGAGGGGCAGGGACCCCGAGGAUUUCCCCUUUUUAUUUUGGGAUUUUUUUGGUGUUUUUAGGAGAAAAUAAAUCCCAAAAACAAAGCA
ensembl:lncRNA